rnacentral:rRNA from 1 species
AGAGCAACAGGGAUUGCCCUAGUAACGGCGAGUGAAGCGGCAAGAGCUCAAAUUUGAAAUCUGGCUCCUUUGGAGUCCGAGUUGUAAUUUGUAGAGGGUGCUUUGGUGUCGGCUAUGGCCUAAGUUCCUUGGAACAGGACGUCACAGAGGGUGAGAACCCCGUAUGUGGCUGCUAGCCUUCACCAUGUAAAGCCCCUUCGACGAGUCGAGUUGUUUGGGAAUGCAGCUCUAAAUGGGAGGUAAAUUUCUUCUAAAGCUAAAUAUUGGCCAGAGACCGAUAGCGCACAAGUAGAGUGAUCGAAAGAUGAAAAGCACUUUGGAAAGAGAGUCAAAAAGCACGUGAAAUUGUUGAAAGGGAAGCGCUUGCAGCCAGACUUGCUCGUAGUUGCUCAUCCGAGCUUUUGCUCGGUGCACUCUUCUGCGAGCAGGCCAGCAUCAGUCCGGGCGGUUGGAUAAAGGCUCUGGGAAUGUAGCUCUCUUCGGGGAGUGUUAUAGCCCAGGGUGUCAUGCAACCAGUCUGGACUGAGGUCCGCGCAUCUGCUAGGAUGCUGGCGUAAUGGCUGUAAGCGGCCCGUCUUGAAACACGGACCAAGGAGUCUAACAUCUAUGCGAGUGUUUGGGUGUCAAGCCCGGGCGCGCAAUGAAAGUGAACGGAGGUGGGAACCCUUCGGGGCGCACCAUCGACCGAUCCUGAUGUCUUCGGAUGGAUUUGAGUAAGAGCAUAGCUGUUGGGACCCGAAAGAUGGUGAACUAUGCCUGAAUAGGGUGAAGCCAGAGGAAACUCUGGUGGAGGCUCGCAGCGGUUCUGACGUGCAAAUCGAUCGUCAAAUUUGGGCAUAGGGGCGAAAGACUAAUCGAACUAUCUAGUAGCUGGGUCUGCA